GCUCUCUGUGAUGGGGGUCCCUCAAUGUAGCAGCGGUUAGGUGGUGGGGGGACACUAUAGACAUGCCAUUUCCCCAGAGCAUAUUGCUGUGUCUGGGCGUGGUGCUGAUGACCGCCGGGGUGGUCAUGGCACUCUGCACGGGCGCCGUUCCCCAGGGUAUCCCGCUAUUUCAACUCGGACUGAUUCUGGGGCUCGGGGGUGCGGGGCUGGUGGUCACUGGUCUCUGCGCUGCCAUGAAGAACCUGCAGGUGGCGGUGCCAGGACACUUCCUCCUGCACCCCCGCACGGGCACCCGCUUCAGCCCCCAUCAGGCGCUUGCAAUACAAAGGAGGCUGGACCGCAUCCGCAGGGAGAUGUCAACGGACUCCGUGGCCGGGCAGGCUGAGCCAGCCGAGCCCUCCCUGCCCUCCACCCCGCCCCCCUGGGAUCUGGAGCCCCCGCCCUCCUAUGACACGGUGAUGAAGUGCCAGGAGCAUGCCUCACAGGAGAUAUGACCUGUGACACUCCCCUAUCCCUCCCUCACCCCCUUCCCUCCCUUUCUCCCAGAGGAAGAAGAAAACCACAGGGACAGGAAUCCAUGAGUCAUGAACCCAGUCUGAGACGACGAACCGUCGUCAGCUGCAUUUCACCAGCAAAAAAUUUUCACUCUUUGUGCCUUCCUGGGAACCACCAUCUUGAACACCAAACAAAGACAGAGGCGGGGCCUGCAAGCCAAGGGGACAAUCUGGGCUGAACAAAAAAUAGGGCUGUGAGGACACGAGACCUAGAUGGAUGAAACGUGGGAGGGGAAUUUAAUGUUUACCAUUUCCUGUGUUGCUCUAACCUCGCCCCAUCCCACUCGGGAGACCAGCCUUAUGUAACUUUUUAACCGUUGUUGACCCUAAAUGACAGUGCAGUUGGCUGUGAGCCCAGUAAACAGGUACUUUAUAGGCCCCACUGGAGGCUGUGCUAUGAACACCCCCCCCCCUUACACCCUACCCCCCCCCCCCCCCCCACACACACACACACACUUGCCCUUCUUGAACAUCUGCCUUCCAUCCCAGCCGUAUGGAUUGGUCUAGCUGCGUGCACGAGCUUACAAAGCAUUUUAUUACUGGUUUACUGGUUUAACCCAAAGCAAAUUGCCUUUUUGGCAGCAGUGUUGUUGUGCCGAGGUUUGUACUCAGGCUUUUUAAUUUCUUUUGAAAAAAUGACGGCCAGGGCCGGCCUGUGUGGAGAUGUUUCUGUGAGCAUGAGUUAACGACCAGUCUUCCACGAUCUCUGUGGGUGGUGCGUGUGAAGGAGAAGUAAUGGCUUGUUUAUGUGAAAUAAAAUACUGGUGGAGACCUAUAAAGAAAAAUAAAUAUGGCAAAUGUUUACUGAAGUAAUUAUUUAAGUCUAAACAGACAAAUGACAGUGUUGAAUACAGAACACCUGGUCACUAUGGAAACAAUGGAAGCAAUGGAACAGGUUAAGUGUAGAAAGGGCUGGUGGUGUUAUGACAAAAUAGGCAAAAUGUUACCUAUUUUGACAAUAAGCUGGAGGCAAGGACCCCCUUAAAAAGCACAGAACAAGUUCUUAAUCACACACACGCAGACACACACACACACGCAAACACACAAAAACAUACACAACUUCACCUUGAAAAACCAGGACGAAGAAAGAUGAAGACAGUCUGCAGUUUGUGUUGGACACACGGGUUUCAAAGUCUCAGCGGUGGAUUGGAACCGUGGUGGAGCAGUCCAGCUACGGGCGGAUGGUGGCGGGGCUGUGUGUGGCGUCCCUGGGACCCUUCAGCAUGACCGAGGAGUGCUGUUCACACUGGGGGACCUCAUGGUGUGUAUGGGCACCUGUCCUGAGUGUGGGUCCGUGUGAGAAAGUAUAUGUGGGAGAUAAGGUGUGUACCGGUAUGUGUCUUUGGAUUAGUGUGUGUGUGCUGGUGGGAAAAUAAUGUAUAAGUCUGUGAUGGAAGAUAGGAUGAUGAUAUUAUUCCAGCGUGUUGUGUUGUCGGUUGUUUUUCAGGUCACGUUGGUUUCUCGUGAAGAAAAGGGGCUUGAGGACUGCACACACACACACACACACACACACACGCACACACAUACACAUACACACACACACACACACACACACACACACACACACACACACACACACACACACACACACACACAAACUAAUAAGCCAACCAGGGCUUGCUUUAGGGUGGUAACUUUUUGUCUGAGAUGACCUGCAUUAGGAGAAAGAACGGCAUAACUUCACCGCUAAUACUAUAUAUAAAAGAAAAAGAAUACAGGUUUCGAUGAAAAGUCAUGGUCAGUCAGGCCUUUGAUCUAAAGGCUUGGGGACAGCUGACUUCUAUAGACUGAUGGAUAAAUUACAGCCAUGUUUCCUUUAGAGUGGCCACAAAUAGAUUUAUAAGCAUGUUUAGAUCAUUAGGGUGUCUUUUUCUCUUUCCAUUAAUCCAGUAAUGAUGAUAAUGAUGAGCUGCAGCAUGGUUGCCAUGGCGAGAGGGGAAGUGACGGUACGGCCCAAGAGGCGCCUCAGGCAUCACAGCUGUCCAGUUCUGAGCCUGAUCUGAGUAUUCAUCUCACUCUUCUCAACAGUUGCUGUUUAAGAAUCAAUUAAGAAAAAUCAUCAUUCAAAAAUAUUAAUAAUAUAAUGAUCUCUAUAAAUGUACGUUGUCUAUCUGCCAUUUACUAAGAGCUUGCAUCAUGGCAAUUUCAUUAAUGAAAUCUUCUUAGAUAAUAAUUUAGUGUUUAAUAUGAUGACUACACCCUAAAUAAGUUAACGCGUGUACCACUGUGUCUGCAAAUCUGUCCCAGGAGGGGGCACCGUUUACAAAAAAUGGGAUUCUUGGACAAUUUUAGGAAAAUAUAUUUCAAUCGGCCUGUAAUUCGGUUACGCUUGGAAACCCUUAGCCUAUUUCGGAAUCAGUCUGGAAAGCGUUAGGGCUAAACCCCUACACUAAUCAAUAUUUCCAGAUGUCAUUUUUAAUUGGGCCUACAUUAUUUACCUUUCGAACAGUUAAUUAAGGUUGGCCAUUUUCCAGUGGGACACAUGUACAUGCAAAUGCAAUACACAUGUAAUAAUAAACAAAUAAUAACUCCCCACUUAAGUAGGGGUACUACCCAGUCCCACAUAAGGAUUCCCUGAGAAUGAUGCCUCAUCCCACUUCCUGCUCCUAAAUGACAUAUUUCUGAAUUCACCGGAAGUCACGAAGAAGGAUGUAUUUAUAAGUAUACUUAAAAAUAAGACGUGCCUUAAAACUAGGCCCUACUUAAAGUGUAAACCAAUGUGUUGCAUCUUCUCCUAAAGCAACAAACUGCUUGGGAUUACCAUUCAAUUCUGUUUCUUUCAUGAAGCAGGCAAACAAUAUACCCUCCACAGACCAACUGGUCCAUGUUCCAGUCUGACCAAGGUAUUGGGUUUUUCAAGUAAGCCUAUAGAAAUCACAGAGGCUGCACAUUUUUCUAUUGUAUAACCUUGAGAAUAGGUAGCCCUCUGAUUGGACUGCCAUUGUCUUGUGUUUUUAAACGGUUAUAUCGACAAAAUAAACGAGACUCAACCAUGUAGCAGGAUGGGGCUGGUUAUUGGUUAGAUAUUAAUCAUCUGCAAAAGAGUUGGUUUCUUUGUUCCACCUGUGUCCUGUCCAGAUGACGGAGGCCAGGCGGAGGUGUUCCUUAUGGAUGGGAGUGUUCAGACGUUUUACCGGGAGCUUUAAUAGACUUUAACAGCGUCCCUGAGGAGGACGUACUCAGAGUUCACAUACAGGUCGGAGAGUAUUUUAACUCUCUCGCUCUCCUCUCUGACAGAGGUCCAGAGAAAGACACAGAGGAGGGGAAAGGAUAGUGUUAUAAGGGGAGGAUGGUGUAGUAGUGGCUAGGUUGUUUGACUCCAAGCCGAAAGGUAGGGAUCAUUUUGCAAGACGCUCUUCUUAAUGACAUGCAUCUCAAUUCACUGUCAAUCACUUCAGAUGAAGUGCAUGCCAAAUGGCUUAAUAGUAAACAUUAAAAUCACACCGUGAUUCGUUCCUGACUGAACAUCGGCUACCUAGUUUAUCAGGGAAACCUCUUUGAAAUAUAAUUUCCUGCAGACCAGCCAGUGUGACAGUCACAGGACGCACACGGUGGGCACGGCCAGCGGACUGGACUCUUGGGUGGCCCCCGGUGCCGCCAUCCACCUGGUGCGUGUACUCAACUGCCAGGGAAAGGGAUUGUGUCAGGAGCCCCGGCAAGUAGCAAUCAAACACAUACAAACACAUACACACACACACACGCACACGUACGCACCCACCCACCCAUGCAAACGCACGUUCAGCCCUCACCUGUGAGGCGCCUCACAACCUCACCUCUCUAAACCUGGCGGCUUUCCUCCCUCCCUCCCUCCCAGCCAUCGAGCACAUCCAAGCAAUCCUAUUGGCCCUGCCACGGGACCUGGAUGGUGGUGCUGAUGCCGUUCCUUUGUGGCUUCAGCUACACGCUUAACACGGCAUGACGGGAGCUGGUGACUAGUGGCGCCUUGGUCGUAGCAGCGACAGGGACACACACGCACAGGCUAACACACACACACACACACACACACACACACACACACACACACACACACAGGCUAACCCACACAAAUACACACAGGCUCACACACACACACACACACACACACACACACACACACACACACACACACACACACACACACACACACAGGCUAACCCACACACAUACACACAGGCAAACAAAUACGCACACACACGCAUGAAAAUUGACAUGGGAAAUACACAACGCUGCCCUCCUUAUUCUUCAAUUAAUUUAAAUAUUAUCUUUGACUCAUCAUUAUUAUUUUGUAUCUGCAGGUGAUAACAAUAGGGGCGGUAACCUCAGAGGAUCAGCCAAUGGCAUUGGGAGCGGGCGGGACCAACUUCGGCCACUGUGUGGAUCUGUUUGCGUCGGGCGAUGACAUCGUUAGCGACAGCAGUGACUGUAUAACCCCUGUGCUUCACCUCACGCAGCGGGACGUCCCAGGCUGCAGCCCACGUGACAG
rnacentral:lncRNA from 1 species